CCGUCCACGCAUGGUUUAUGUAUGUUGGACGUGCGAUUCAGAGAUGCCUCCGUCCACGCAUUGGUUAUGUGUAACAGACGUGCGAUUCAGUGAUGCCUCCGUCUGGGUAUAGACGUGCCUAUAGUGAGAGGUAUCGGUCUAUAAGAACUAUUGCGUUGACGUGCGAUUCAGAGAUGCCUCCGUCAACCUUAGGCAGAGGGGACGCCUUCUGUCUGAUCUGUUCACAGGUGCUGCAUGCUGCCCACAUUGUUGGAGGGCCGCUACGUACUUAUAUGAAGAUUACGGAAGUACAUUAAUGAGAGCUCUCACGUAUUAGACUUUGAAAUUUGCAUUAGCACUCUGAAAUAGCAGUGCCUUAUGUUUCAGAUAACGAAGAGUAUGAUUCAGGUGCAGGUCCAUCCUCAGUCUCCCUCAGACCGGGCGAGGAGACAGCCGGACCAGGUGGUGCCUCUUCAGCAGCAGGACCGGCUCUGGUGAUAAACGAGCGUCACGAAGAUGGCGCCGAGGACGACGCCUCUUCAGGAUAGGCCGAUUUAGGAACCCCAACAAUAAUAUCUAACAUAGCCUAUAAAAGGCGGCGCAGACGCUGGUGGGGGUCAUUUGCUCGUCAGCUCUCGUGGAGGUCGGUAGCAGUCGGCGCGAUUUGUGAGUGUUUUUGUAUUAGUAAGAGUGCUAUAAGUCUUAAAAACGUUAAACUCAUGCGUGUGUUCUACAUCUAUAAUAUCGUGAUGUGGGUGCUCACCCUCGUUCUAAUUAUGAUCCUGGUAGUGUUAUUGCUAAGGAAAAUGGAUCCAUCUGAUGUCUUUUCCUACUACUCCUGGAAGUUCCUCGUUACUACUGCUAACUUCUUUUUCACUUUGUUGGUACAAGUCUACUUUAUGCUCCUAUUGAGAAGUGAGAUCUUAAAACUUGAGGGCAAGUACGGGUUCAGCUUCGUGAACAAUGCGGCUGAGGGAGAGUGUACAAUUAGAGAAGGCACUCAAAUAGACGAAGCCUGGAAGACAACAGACAAUCAAGAAGAAAAUAAGACUGGGCCAGGUGCGGUAGAUGAAGAAGGAAAAUCGUCUGAACAGGCAAUGCGGUACCCCUAGUAAUGGUGACACUGUAUUCCGGCCCUGGGCUCUGUCUGCUAUUUUUAAAAUUGUUGUCAUUCCAACACGGCCGCAUUGUCAUUUUGCUAUAAGUUCCUAAUCUGCUAAAUUCAUAAUAGUCGAUAAUUGAUCAAUCAAUAGUCUCGGAAUGGAAUUGUAGUAGAAUGACAUUGCCUUAUUGCCAUUAUUAUGAAACUUUGUAGUAGACAUAAUUUUCGAUAAUCUACUACUAAAUUUGAAUAUCUAUUCAUGUCAGAUGUAGGUAAUUUCUAUUUUAUUUUACAAAAAUAUCUAUCAGUGUUAUAGGUAUGCAAUCUGAAGUAUUUGUCAUUACGCAUGCGAUUACCAUUUCAUGUCAUUACUUUCAGUGGUUGACCAUUGGUCAAGUCAAGUCAUAAUGACGCCAUUACAUUAGUAGAUUACCAAACUUGUCAAAAUCAACAAUUUCGAAAUCAAUGAUUAAUAAUUCUGAUACUAUUGUAAUAGCAGACUUGAGGCCCAGUUGGCUGACACCAUUACAAAGCCGUCUAUGUAGUACAGUAUUUUUGACAAUGUGCUAAAAUGAACAGGGUACGCAUUUACCAACAUGUUAAGUCGCUCAUAGAAGCUAGUUUGGUGUAUACUAUUUUUAUGAGUUUUUAAUAAAGUUUGGUACGUUUCAGUACUACUUAAAGUGAA